rnacentral:rRNA from 1 species
UACGUAGGGGGCAAGCGUUGUCCGGAUUUAUUGGGCGUAAAGAGCGUGUAGGCGGUUUGGUAGGUCCGCUGUGAAAACUCGAGGCUCAACCUCGAGACGCCGGUGGAAACCAUCAGGCUAGAGUCCGGAAGAGGAGAGUGGAAUUCCUGGUGUAGCGGUGAAAUGCGCAGAUAUCAUUUGGAACGCCAAUGGUGAAAACAGGUAGCUGGGGCUGUGCUGACACUGAGACACGAAAGCCAGGGGAGCAAACGGG